CUCAUCUCUAAGAGGGAGAGAGAGAGAGAGAGUUCUCUGUUUGUUUGUUUUUUUUUGAGUGAUUGUUUAGAACUCGAAACGAAAUGGGCCUGAGGAGGUUUGGAAGAUUGGUCAAAUGGGUUGGUGGUAAUGGUAGGAGGCCAUUUUCAACCUCCUCCUCCUCCUCUUGUGAUGAAAUGAUGGUUCAGCAAAUUGCGAGUGGGAAAUCAUUGAACCUCUACUCUGCCAUCAACCAAGCGCUCCACAUCGCCUUGGAAACUGACCCACGUACUUAUGUAUUUGGAGAAGAUGUGAGCUUUGGUGGGGUCUUUCGUUGCACAACAGGCUUAGCUGAUCGAUUUGGUAAACGAAGGGUUUUUAAUACCCCUCUCUGUGAACAGGGCAUUGUAGGAUUUGGCAUUGGUCUAGCAGCUAUGGGUAAUCGAGCUGUAGCAGAAAUCCAGUUCGCAGAUUACAUUUUUCCUGCUUUUGAUCAGAUUGUCAAUGAAGCUGCAAAGUUCAGAUACCGAAGUGGAAAUCAAUUUAAUUGUGGAGGUUUAACAAUACGAUCCCCCUAUGGAGCUGUGGGCCAUGGUGGACAUUAUCAUUCACAAUCUCCUGAAGCUUUCUUCUGUCACGCCCCUGGUAUCAAAGUGGUCAUCCCUCGAAGCCCACGGCAAGCAAAAGGCUUAUUGCUUUCCUGCAUACGUGAUCCAAACCCUGUUGUGUUUUUUGAACCAAAGUGGCUAUACAGAUUAUCAGUAGAAGAGGUUCCUGAGCAUGAUUACAUGUUGCCUUUAUCAGAGGCAGAGAUAAUUCGAGAGGGCAACGAUAUAACACUUGUUGGUUGGGGAGCUCAGUUAUCUAUAAUGGAACAGGCCUGUAAGGAUGCUGAAAAAGACGGAAUUUCUUGUGAACUGAUAGACCUGCGAACUCUUUUACCUUGGGAUAAGGACACAGUGGAGGCCUCUGUCAGAAAGACUGGAAGGCUUCUUAUUAGUCAUGAAGCUCCGGUUACUGGAGGAUUUGGUGCUGAAAUAUCUGCUUCAAUUGUCGAACGUUGCUUCCUAAGGUUGGAAGCACCUGUUGCGACAAUAUGCGGUCUGGAUACCCCAUUUCCUCUUGUAUUUGAGCCCUUCUAUAUGCCCAACAAGAACAAGAUAUUGGAUGCAAUCAAAUCAACUGUAAAUUUCUAGUGCAAAAGCAAGUCUGCUUCUUUCUUCUCUCUCUAGUUUGCUUUCCUAGUGCAGGCUUGGCUCUGCUAACAGAGAUGCUGAGACUCUGACAACGUUGAUGGCAACAAAAAGCAGCGGGAUAUGGGAGCCUCCGAAAACAAGCAGCAUCAUCCUCGCAUGGAGGAAGCUGAUGGUUGUUUUUCACUAAGGAUUGUAGACUAUUACACGGUCCACCAAAUAUUGUAUUAAUCUCUAUUGGCCUGCCCGUGGACCAAUCUACAAUCAGAACUUUCAAUCCUCGCACUUAUUAAUGGUCUUGAAAUUGUCAA